AACGAACGCUGGCGGCGUGGAUAAGACAUGCAAGUCGAACGGGAUCAUUGAGGUAGCAAUAUCGCGAUGGUCUAGUGGCGAACGGGUGCGUAACACGUGGAUACAUUCCGGGAAGCGGGGGAUAGCCCAGGGAAACUUGGAUUAAUACCGCAUGUGGUCGAAAGACUAAAGGCAGGGACCGCAAGGCCUGCCACUUCCCGAUUGGUCCGCGGCCUAUCAGCUAGUUGGCGGGGUAAAAGCCCACCAAGGCUACGACGGGUAGCUGGUCUUAGAGGACGACCAGCCACACUGGAACUGAGACACGGUCCAGACACCUACGGGUGGCAGCAGUCGAGAAUCUUUCACAAUGGGGGCAACCCUGAUGGAGCGACGCCGCGUGGAGGAUAAGGUCUUCGGAUUGUAAACUCCUGUCAUGUGUGAACAAGGCUGCCGUGUUAAUAGCAUGGCAGAUUGAUGGUAACACAAGAGGAAAGAGACGGCUAAACUCUGUGCCAGCAGCCGCGG
rnacentral:rRNA from 1 species